AUACCUCUAGUAUAAACAUUACAAAAUUCUUUCAUGAUUUAAAUCCAAUAAUUUGGGAAGUAUC
rnacentral:tRNA from 1 species